rnacentral:lncRNA from 1 species
GGCAGGGCCAGGCCUCUGCCCCUUGGGGCCUCCAUCCUGCUCUGCUCUGCAGCUACUUCGGGUUUGGCGUUUCCUUUCCCUUGACCUGGGGUCACCCUGCCUGGCUCAGCCCGUCCUGCAGCUUCCCCUGGUGCUGGGAGUCGCCUUAUGGGCUGAUUUUUCACUUCUGUUUGGUACACGUUUCCUUUCCCCUGACCCUGGGGCUCUUCGCUGAGCCCCCCGAGAGCCAGUCCUGGUUGGCCACGCAGGGCGUCUUCCCCCACACUUGAGCCUUCUAACUAGCUGUGAAGGGCCCUGACUGACUGGGGCAGGGGUGGGGGUAGAUAUAUAUAUAUUUUUUAACACUUUAAAAAUGAGUGGAAGAUGUGACCAGCAUCAACGUUACCCUUUUACUGUGUACCAUUCAGUGGGUUUUAGUACAUUCACAAUGUCGUAUAAUCAUCAUGACAGUCGAAUUCCAGAAGAUUCUCCUCCUCUCUGAAAGAAACCCCAUCCCCAUUAGCAGUCACUCCCCACUGCUCCCCCCCACACACCCUGGAAAACACAGACCUACUUUCCGCCUCGACAGACUUGUCUGUUCUGGGCACAUCACACAAACGGAAUCACACAAUACGUGGUCCUCUGCGGCCGGCUUCUCUCUCAGAGCAGCAUGUUUUCAAGGGCCGUCCACGUGGUCGCAGGCGUCAGAACUCCGUUUCUUUCUCCCCCUGUUGAGUACCCUUCCCCUGUGCAGAGAGACAGUGUUGUCUUUCUUCACUCAGGGAAGGGACACGGGCUGUUUCCACGUUUUGGCUGUUGUGAACGGUGCAGCUGGGACUCUGUCUUCAGUGCUCUUGUUACAUCCCCCGGCAUGUUGGAAUCGAAGUUUCUGUCAUUUGCAACCAAAACGAUGAGACGGCCUGAUCCAGGACAGCAGGAUUGGGAUGACUGCCAGGGGACGGACGGAGAAAACACAGCUCAGGUACCUGCUGUGUUGCCUGCACUCUGGGGAGACGCUGGUGGCUGCCGUCCAGUGGGGGAUGGGCGUGAAUCAGUUGGCGGUGGCACAGAGGGGACAGUGGUCCAGAGUUUCUCCGAGGGUAUCACUAGGGGACUUGCCAUCAACUGGGGGUGCGUAAAGCUUCCCUGGAGGACAGACGCCACAGCUGAGAGCUGCAGGAUGCGCCCCAGGGAGGUGGCCAGGUGAGGCGAGCAGCGGAGCAGGCGCAAGGGGGCUGCCCCUGCUGCAGAGGGAGGGGG